CGGCGAGUGAAGCGGCAAAAGCUCAAAUUUGAAAUCUGGCACCUUCGGUGUCCGAGUUGUAAUUUGAAGAAGGUAACCUUGGGGUUGGCUCUUGUCUAUGUUUCUUGGAACAGAACGUCACAGAGGGUGAGAAUCCCGUGCGAUGAGAUGCCCAAUUCUAUGUAAGGUGCUUUCGAAGAGUCGAGUUGUUUGGGAAUGCAGCUCUAAGUGGGUGGUAAAUUCCAUCUAAAGCUAAAUAUUGGCGAGAGACCGAUAGCGAACAAGUACAGUGAUGGAAAGAUGAAAAGAACUUUGAAAAGAGAGUGAAAAAGUACGUGAAAUUGUUGAAAGGGAAGGGUAUGAGAUCAGACUUGGUGUUUUGCAACCUUACUCUCGGGUGGGGCCCCUGCAGUUCAUCGGGCCAGCAUCAGUUUGGAUAGUAGGAUAAUGGCAUUGGAAUGUAGCUUGGCUUCGGUUAAGUGUUAUAGCCUUUGUUGAUACUGCUUGUCUAGACUGAGGACUGCGUCUUUGACUAGGAUGCUGGCAUAAUGAUCCUAUACCGCCCGUCUUGAAACACGGACCA
rnacentral:rRNA from 1 species